rnacentral:rRNA from 1 species
UACGUAGGUCCCGAGCGUUGUCCGGAUUUAUUGGGCGCAAAGCGAGCGCAGGUGGCUUAUUAAGUCUGGUGUAAAAGGCAGUGGCUCAACCAUUGUAUGCAUUGGAAACUGGUAGACUUGAGUGCAGGAGAGGAGAGUGGAAUUCCAUGUGUAGCGGUGAAAUGCGUAGAUAUAUGGAGGAACACCGGUGGCGAAAGCGGCUCUCUGGCCUGUAACUGACACUGAGGCUCGAAAGCGUGGGGAGCAAACAGG